rnacentral:rRNA from 1 species
GACGGGUGAGUAACACGUGGGUAACCUGCCCCUCUGUGGGGGAUAACAUUUGGAAACAGAUGCUAAUACCGCAUAGAUCCAAGAACCGCAUGGUUCUUGGCUGAAAGAUGGCGUAAGCUAUCGCUUUUGGAUGGACCCGCGGCGUAUUAGCUAGUUGGUGAGGUAAUGGCUCACCAAGGCGAUGAUACGUAGCCGAACUGAGAGGUUGAUCGGCCACAUUGGGACUGAGACACGGCCCAAACUCCUACGGGAGGCAGCAGUAGGGAAUCUUCCACAAUGGACGCAAGUCUGAUGGAGCAACGCCGCGUGAGUGAAGAAGGCUUUCGGGUCGUAAAACUCUGUUGUUGGAGAAGAAUGGUCGGCAGAGUAACUGUUGCCGGCGUGACGGUAUCUAACCAGAAAGCCACGGCUAACUACGUGCCAGCAGCCGCGGUAAUACGUAGGUGGCAAGCGUUAUCCGGAUUUAUUGGGCGUAAAGCGAGCGCAGGCGGUUUUUUAAGUCUGAUGUGAAAGCCCUCGGCUUAACCGAGGAAGCGCAUCGGAAACUGGGAAACUUGAGUGCAGAAGAGGACAGCGGAACUCCAUGUGUAGCGGUGAAAUGCGUAGAUAUAUGGAAGAACACCAGUGGCGAAGGCGGCUGUCUGGUCUGUAACUGACGCUGAGGCUCGAAAGCAUGGGUAGCGAACAGGAUU